ensembl:lncRNA PSMD7-DT PSMD7 divergent transcript
GGCCCGGAUCUUCGCCACCGCCGUCAUUUGUGGGCGGAGAAAGGGCUGGAGAAAGGCGGGAAUCGCCCCUCGUCCCUCGCCGUGCGUUUCCCUGGACUUAAGGGCCGAAGGGACACCGGCGACUUGACCUCCUGCUGUGGGAGUGGCUUUCUCUGGAGUUUCCUUAUCUGACUAAGGGAAAGUUCCUCCAGGAGGAAUGUAAUUGUCAUGAGCCCUCUGCCUAUAAUCUCAUCAAACAGCAAAGACUAACUCACAGGAAAGGAGACUAAAAAGGAAAGGGAUCCCAAUCCAGACCCCAAGAGAGGGUUCUUGGAUCUCAUGCAAGAAAGAAUUCAGGCAGAGGGAGACAUCUGACCAUGGACACAGUAUUGCUGCUUGCCAGUAUUCUGUAGAGAGAAGAAUGCCCAAGAGAUGAAAGCAUGAUAUUCCAACCCCCAAACAAUCCCGAGUGAAAGGCCUGGCCACCUCUGUUGACAUGAUUGCAGGGAGAGGCUCCUCCGUGCUCCUGAGAGGCCGAACACAGGGUCGCCAGCACAGCUUACUGCUCGGUGUCUCCUGAGCCACAGAGGAAGACGUGGCAGGAGCACCUGGUGCUAAUAUAUAUUCAUGUCUAUGGCAAUGCCGACCAUCUGGCUGGUCUGAACCAGGAUAAAAGUGAAGAAUUCCUCUGUGAAGACCCAGCUCUUUCUUUGGCUCCUUUUUUGAAGCCAUCUUUGCUCUGCUCUCCUCUGCUGCCCAGAUGCUCAUUCCAGAGGGGUCCUGCCCCAUACCCAAGAGGAAGGAAUGCUACCCAGAGAGGCCAAGAAGAAUCUGCAUAGACAAGCCUUGUGUGUUCCCCACUUAGUCUAUCACAAUUAGAUUCUUCUCUUUGUCCAGUCAUGUUUCUACCUGGUUGCCAUUCCUCAUUGAACCUAAACAUAAAAUCAGUUUCCCCUUGGUGUUUAGGUCUUCAUUUCUGAUGGCUCCUGUGUCCUGUAUAACUUUGAUUAAAUAAAUUUAUUAUGCA